GACGAACCGUGCGAACGUUGUUCGGAAUCACUGGGCUUAAAGGGUGCGUAGGCGGCCAUGUAAGUGAGGUGUGAAAUCCCUCGGCUCAACCGAGGAACUGCGCUUCAUACUGCAUGGCUUGAGGGAGACAGGGGUAAGCGGAACUGAUGGUGGAGCGGUGAAAUGCGUUGAUAUCAUCAGGAACACCGGUGGCGAAAGCGGCUUACUGGGUCUCUUCUGACGCUGAGGUACGAAAGCUAGGGUAGCGAACGGG
rnacentral:rRNA from 1 species